CGCUACUCGAAUAUCUCUCACAAAAAAUACGUCGUCAUCAUCGAAAUGGCGGCAGCGGAUAUAUUCAGCGCAGGGUGCACGACCGUCACCCAAGCGGAGACGCAGGGGGCGGCCACCCCGGGCUGAGGUCGUUCACCUCCCCCCUUGCGUCCGCGCAGCGAGUCCCUCGCAAUCACAGCCCUUUGUGCGCCCGCGCAGAGGGCUACUCGGAGGGCAAAGACUCCAUUUGUAUUUCUUUGUUUUGAAAUACCUUCUAACUCGAAGGGUCUGCAGGUACACAACUGGUCAUUGGAAUCUUUGUUUCCGAGAAGGUGGAUUUUAGUUUUUGUCAUUGUAAUCAAGAGACUUUAAUUUUGUGCGUUAUAAAUUUUUAUUUUACAUUUCGCCAUUAAAUACCAUCACAAUAAA